CCCCGUGGCGCCUCCUCCAGAGCGGCAGCCUCACAGCUUACUAUGUACAUGGCUACCCCGGGUCUGCUUGGAAGAUGGGCUGGGAUUCCAUGGAUCUGGCCCUGUUUUCUGCAUUUUGAACAAGCCCCUCGCUCAGGUUGAUUUUGCUGCUCCCUGGGACACACUUGGAAUCAGAGGAUGCCAGCCAUGCUCAGGGACACUGCCCUCCAAACUAAUGAAGAAGACUUGGCCUGGUGACCACGUGGCUGUUCAGAGAACUUGGUAUCCAACUCCUGCCCUAACUGUCCACUCCAAGAGUGAACAAAGUACCAGUUAAUCAGGGACAGUUGUCCCCAGGGAAGGGUAGCCACUCUGUCCUGGGCCUCCCUGGCUGUCCCCUCGCUACACACACGAUUGCACACAUGAUUGUCCAAAUCACACAAACUCCCACAUCCACAGACAUGCUUCUACUCUCUCUCUCUCUCUCUCUCUCUCUCUCUCUCACACACACACACACACACACUCACACACACUUAUAUCUGACAACCACAUUUUUGGGGCUGUUGUUAAUACUGUCAAUCUAGUGAAACAAAGUCUUGGUCGCUCUCUGACCUUAGCUUUGUUUGUCUUAGAGUUUAAAUUUGAAGACAACUUUAUUUCCUAAAUCCAGGUUCCAAAGGGGCCCUUCAAUGUGGCCAGCAUUUAUAUGCAUUUUUAGAGCCCCAGAUGGCUCUGCCUGGCCACUUCCCUUGACACCCAAAACAGAC
rnacentral:lncRNA from 1 species